rnacentral:lncRNA from 1 species
GCACUUUUAUUUAUAUUUAACAAUUAUUGUCCAACUAUAGAUUAACUAGGUUCAAAAGAUUCUUCUCGUAAAUUAUAGACAAACUGUAUAAUUAGUUUUUGUUCUCGUCUAUAUUUAGUGUUUCAUGCAUGCGCCAUAUGAUUUGAUGUGACAGAGAAUCUUGAAAAGUUUUGAAUUUCGAGGUGAACUAAACAAAACCCUUGUUUAAUUCACCUAAAAAUUAAAAACCUUUUAAUAUUACUUUUGAAAUUAAAUCUUACCGCAUAUAUAUAAAACAUUGAAUAUAGAUUAAAAUAAAAACUAAUUACAUAAUUUGUCUAUAAAUCGUGAGAUCAAUCUUUUAAACCUAAUUACUUCAUCAUUAAAUAAUAUUUAUUAAAUAAAAAUGAAAAUGCUAAAAUAUCAAAAAAUUCCAAAAACUAGGCCUUAGACUGAGGACGGUGGCAGCACGCAGCAGGUCCCCGACCCUCGCCCGCACGGCUCCACUCCACGCCCACAGUGUGCCGCCGGCCGCUUGCUGGACGUUGGACUCGCUGCAGAUUCCGGCCACCGCUUUGCCGUGGUGGAAGGGAGAUGUCGUCGGUCCCGGCGAGUGCAGUGUCGCUGUGUCGGCAAGUGAGCAUCGGUGAGUGGUGGAGUUCAAUGCAAUGUCGUUUGUAGGCCUCGUCAAAAAAAAAAAAAAAAAGACGUUAGUAGGUGUGGCACCAGUACCUACACCAGCAGCGGUAGCUUGACUUGACCGAGAAAGCUUGUUCACGGGCGAGGAGUGUAAAAACCGAGAAGGAUCGUGUGCGAUCUAGGCAGGCAUGAUGGCACCACGUGGUGUGCUAUGCUGUGCUCCCUCGGAGAGAAGAGCCAGCGCGCGAGCGGCAAGGGGGCAACCGUCAAAAAGGCGUGGCGCGUGGCCCGAUGGCCGAUGCUCCGCCCACGUCGUCGCCUCGUCGGUUUGGCGGUUUCUUUUUUCCUCUCUCUGGGGACUCGGAUGCGCCGCCGCAGGGGUGCAGAGCCGUGCAGUGCCGCAGGCCUGCAUGGUUGCUGUUGCGGGCGUGGCAGUGCAGCGGCGCGGGCAGGCAGGUCGCGACACGCUAGUUAUAGAUUUUUUUAAAGAUUUUUUUGUGAAAUCGAAUCUAAACAUUAAAUAUAAAUACAAAUAAUUAAUUUUAAAGUUUAUCUAUAAUUAGCGAAAUAAUUUUUCUAAAGUUAGUUAGUCGUAAUUAAACAAAAUUUAUAAAAUAUAAUAAAAAAUGUUAUAAAAAAUCAACUAAACAAGGCCCAAGGGUCCCUCCUCUUCGCAUCCAC